UGUCGUGGAGAAAAACAUCCAAGAUACCUUUUCAGAAAACGGGAACCACCCUUUGGUAAAGCUCGUAGCUAACGAAAAGCUGAAAUCAGCUUACAAGAAGAACAAAAGACUAGUUUCAUCGUAUACAGAAUCCGUCCUCGUCAAGGAAGCGUGUUCAGUGAUCAUGCAAGAGGUAAAGAGUAUGGUC